UACGAAGGGGGCUAGCGUUGUUCGGAAUUACUGGGCGUAAAGCGUGCGCAGGCGGCUUCUCAAGUCAGGGGUGAAAGCCCAGAGCUCAACUCUGGAAUUGCCCUUGAGACUGAGUGGCUUGAGUACGAGAGGGGUGAGUGGAAUUCCCAGUGUAGAGGUGAAAUUCGUAGAUAUUGGGAAGAACACCGGUGGCGAAGGCGGCUCACUGGCUCGUAACUGACGCUCAUGCACGACAGCGUGGGGAUCAAACAGG
rnacentral:rRNA from 1 species